CAGUGCCAAGGUUUCCAAAAUACUCAUCUGCAGCUUUUAAAGAUUUAGUUAAUAUAAGUUUUUGUUAUUAAGGAAAAGAAAAUGGGCAAGAGCUGAGUUAAGACGAGCACAUGCGUGGUUAGCGUGAAAUCGAUGGUUCAAGUCCAUUUAGGCCCACCAACUGAAAAAAAGGUCCAACUCUAAUUUAGAAAAAAAAAGUUUUCUGAAAAAAAGAAAAACAAAGUAGAAUUAAAAAAUC
rnacentral:misc_RNA from 1 species